GGAGGGACACCGGAUCUUGGGCUUUGUCCCCUGUGCCCUGGGGCUCCGGGGCCUGCACCGCUAGAAUCGUGCUCCGGGGCUGCGCAGCCCCCU
rnacentral:pre_miRNA from 1 species